CGUCUGUAGCCAACCGUUGUCCACCCCUAGAUGGCAUGCGCAUGAUCCGUUAUUACACUUAAAAAAAAAUGUAGCAUCAUAUAGACAAGUGGGGCCACUGGGUCCACACCUUUAGCUGAACACUGCUUCCAAACUCAGUUAAAUGUAGUUAAUAACUAAUUCAUCUUUUCUUUCACCACCACUAUCAAUUUUCUUCAUUUCAAUAACCAUGGCUACAACUCUUUCACUUUCCUUCUCCUUAGACCCUCAAAACCGCUUCAACAUCACCACCACCACCACCAAAACGACUCGUCGUUUUACAUUCUCAUCUCUUCCUCAUAGAAAACCCCUAAUCCCAAAUCCCCACUUCAAACUCUCCUCUUCUUCCCAUUCCCAAUCCCAAACCCUAACCGAACCCAUCAUUCAAACAGGUAAAUUCCUCACAAACGACGAACUUGACAAACUCCAAUUCCUCUCCUCCUUCCUCUACUCACAGCAACUCGAAUCCGGUACGGUUUGGGUUCGAGUCAUGAGAGACAACGAAGUGGAUCCCAUUGUGUGUUUACUCGCGGAUUCGUUUUCGGAAUCGAUGAUGUUUCCGAAAGGGUAUAUCAAUGUGUUGAGGUUUCUUGUGAAACGGUAUUUGGUUGACCGAAGGACUUCGAUGCCGCAUAUGGCGACGUUGGUUGGGUUUUAUAGAGGGGUUGUUGAUGGGGAAGAUGGAGAAAUGCAGUUGGCGGGGACUGUUGAGAUUUCUUUUGAUAAAAAUGGUGCUAAUGCUUCGAUUCCUUCGCCUACUCCUCCUAGGGAUUCUCCUUACAUUUGUAACAUGGCUGUGGAUAAAUCUCUCAGAAGGAGGGGCAUUGGAUGGCACCUUCUAAAGGCAAGUGAGGAAUUGAUUUCUCAGAUGAGUUCAUUGGGAGAAGUUUACUUGCAUUGCCGAAUGAUUGAUGAAGCUCCAUUUAACAUGUAUACAAAGGCUGAUUACAAAAUUGUAACGACAGAUAGUAUAUUAGUUCUGCUGAUGCUGCAGAGACGCAAGCACUUGAUGUGCAAGAAACUUCCCCUCAUAAGUCCGCCAUCAGAAACAGAUGUGUCAUGGUCUGAUGAAUAAAAAACUACGUGUAUGUGUUCAAGACUGCUUAAUAUUUUGAUUGAUUAUAAUUUGACUGGAGGAUGAAGAUUGAUAACUGAUGAAAAGAUUGUAAAGCUGGUCCUUUGUCACAAAUUACCAGGUCAUACCCCAGUAAAAUAAAAGGAAACUGAAAGACUUAAUUGGAAUUGGAUAAAAUUUCAGUUUCAGACUUUUAAUGCAGAUCAGAUUUUGAAAGUUAAGCCAACUUUUACUGGAUGAGUUUAUGUUGGAUUGCUAACUUAAUUUGAGUUAUUAAUUUAUUCUAUGGUGGCUUAGCCAUUCACAACAGGUUCCCAUUAAGCAUAUAUUCAUAUACUAAGAAUCUGUGCUUUCCAUCAGCACAAUAUCCUAUCAAGGAAACAAGAUUUGGAUGGCUCAGUCUGCUCAAAAUGUCAACUUCGACUCGGAAUUCACGUUCCCCCUCUGCUUCUUUUAUUGCUGGAAGCUCCAUUUUCUUGAUUGCUACAACCUUCAAAGGGAGACAUAUUGUUGUAUCAGUAUGUAUUUAUUUUCAUCAAGCUAACACAUUUUGAACCAUUUUUGUAAAUCUUGACAAUCUUCUGUCUGGAAGCUACAUCUGAUGUUAACAAAACCUUGAAAAUCA